rnacentral:rRNA from 1 species
AAUAUUGGACAAUGGGCGCAAGCCUGAUCCAGCCAUGCCGCGUGUGUGAAGAAGGCCUUCGGGUUGUAAACUUCUUUUAUUGGGGAAGAAACCUCCGAUUUCUAUUGGAGCCGACGGUACCUGAGGAAUAAGCACCGGCUAACUCCGUGCCAGCAGCCGCGGUAAUACGGAGGGUGCAAGCGUUAUCCGGAUUCACUGGGUUUAAAGGGUGUGUAGGCGGAUAUUUAAGUCAGUGGUGAAAUCUCCGGGCUCAACCCGGAAACUGCCAUUGAUACUAUUUAUCUUGAAUACUGUUGAGGUAGGCGGAAUAUAUCAUGUAGCGGUGAAAUGCUUAGAUAUGAUAUAGAACACCGAUUGCGAAGGCAGCUUACUAAGCAGUUAUUGACGCUGAGGCACGAAAGCGUGGGGAUC